UGGGGAGGCAGCGGUGACAUAGAGGCGAACAAAUUUGGCGAAUCCACACUAUUGCACAGUAGGCGUUACGACAGUUGAAUAGAACAAUGUUGAAUCAGAGCAGAGGGGUCGUCGCUUUAAACGAAAGCUUCACAAUGGAAGAUUCAGCGAACAAACCAAAGUCCAAAAGGUGGUCGUAGACCUGUAGAGUCUCGGUAGGGAAUGAUGAAGAUGGGGUGACAUAAAUGGUAUUGGUGGUGCAUAGGUGACAAAGUGUGAUGAUGGCAGCGGCGUUGAAGGAGAUGCGACAAUGGGGUUGGAGGGGAACAUGGGAUUGGAACUAGAUAACAGUUGUGGACCAGACACAAAAGAUUCACCGGAGAUAGUAGAAGCAAUCUCCAGCUGGAGAGUAAGGACCGUCACGACUGUAUGGGGCGUGGUAGUGGUGGCUGAUUCCGGCUG
rnacentral:lncRNA from 1 species